AAGGUUUUAAAUUGCGGACCGCAUCAGCUGAUGCGGCCGCAAUAUUGCGGAUGCGGUAGGCACUGCAACCGCAUCGGACCGCAAUUGCGGUGUGAACUCAAAUCACACGUGAUGCCGCAACGCAACCGCAACGCAACAGCAUUUCACCGCAACACAACGGAGUUUUGACUGCAACGGCCGCAACGGUUCAAUCCAAUAUUCCUUUUCGUAAAAAUUGAGAGAAUCUCACCUUUAUUUUUUCCUUUAUGUCCUUUCAUUUUAGAGUUUCUGUCUUCUUAUGUCUCGAUGACUUAAAAAUGAAUUAAAAUUUAUAUAGAAUCAUAAGUAAAAGAUAUAUAAGGAAUUACAAUAAUUAUAGUAUUUUUUUUGUGUUUGUGCGGAUAAAAAAUUAUUUCACGCCGCAACGGCCGCAAUUGCAUCGCAGUGUCCGCAUUAGCCGCAAUCGCAAUACCUGCAACCGCAACCGCAUCCACGACCGCAACCGCAAUUUAAAACCUUG
rnacentral:lncRNA from 1 species